rnacentral:lncRNA from 1 species
AUACCAUUAAGCCCUCAACACAUGGGCAGCGAUGCAGAGAGAGUGAAGAGACUUGCCAGACAGAAAAGGCGGACUUUGUCCUAACCUACGUUUCUGAAAACUCAGCCAGAAUGAAGAUGGGAGGCAGGCAGCACGGCUGAUGGGUCCCUUGGGAGCCAUAAACAUCCAAUUCAACCUUGUGUGCUCCUGGUCCUCACCCGAAAUGACCAGGCCAACUUUGUGGAAGGGGUGAGUCAUGGCUGACAAGCUUUGCAGGCCUCCACAGCGGCACACUACACAACUCAGCAGGGGAAAUGUUUCCACGUUUGCACAUUUUCCAGCAGUUGGUCCAGGAAUGCACGCCCAGUUAGCCUUGGCACACACUGGCCCAGCCCAGUACUGCCUCUCUGAUGUCAAGGGAGUUUCUUUUUCAAGUCCAACUCAAAACACAUUCCUGGACACCCGGAAAUAAAGCUGGAAAAUGGAG